rnacentral:rRNA from 1 species
UACGAAGGGGGCUAGCGUUGCUCGGAAUCACUGGGCGUAAAGCGCACGUAGGCGGAUUGCUAAGUCAGGGGUGAAAUCCUGGAGCUCAACUCCAGAACUGCCUUCGAUACUGGCGAUCUUGAGUCCGGAAGAGGUUGGUGGAACAGCUAGUGUAGAGGUGAAAUUCGUAGAUAUUAGCUAGAACACCAGUGGCGAAGGCGGCCAACUGGUCCGGAACUGACGCUGAGGUGCG